GACGACUGCAACAACAUAAUGAAGCCUUGGGAUUUGGGUACUUUAAGAUUUACCUGGUUUUAGGAUUCAAGCAAAGCACCAUAGCCAGGACAAGGGAAGGUAAAUGGAAAACACAAUAAAGGCCAGUGGACAAAUUCGAAGCUAAAAGGUCAACAUCAAACCAAAGAAGCAAACACAAACAAACAAUGGAUAUAAUGAAGCCUUGGGAUUUGAGUACUUCCGGAUUUACCUGGGUUUCGGAUUCAAGCAAAGCACCAUAGCCAAAACAAGGAAAUGAAUAUGGCAAACAUAAUAAAUGUGGACAAAUUUGAAGCUACAAGGUCAACAUCAAAGCAAAGAAGCAAAUAGAACGACAACGACAACGACAACGAAGACAACUAUGACUAUGACUAUGACUUAAUGAAGCCUUGGGAUUUAGUUACUUUGAGAUUGAUAUUACCCUGUUUUUGGAGCUGAGCAAGGGGAAGAUUGUGAUGGUGGGGCAUUGAAAUGGGUGAGAAAAGCAUCAGCUAACAUGUGCCCCAACUUAACCUGAGCCUCGGUUGUUAAAUGAAGAUUGUCCUCUUUCAGAGCCAACCCUUUGGCAUC
rnacentral:lncRNA from 1 species